UGACACAGGGAGGUAGUGACAAGAAAUAACAAUACAGGGCUCUUCGAGUCUUGUAAUUGGAAUGAGUACAAUUUACAUCUCUUCACGAGGAUCAAUUGGAGGGCAAGUCUGGUGCCAGCAGCCGCGGUAAUUCCAGCUCCAAUAGCGUAUAUUAAAGUUGUUGCAGUUAAAACGCUCGUAGUCGGAUUUCGGGGCGGUCCCGCCGGUCUGCCGAUGGGUACGCACUGGCGGGCGCGUCCUUCCUCCCGGAGACGGCCGCUACUCUUAACUGAGCGGUGGUCGGAGACGGGAUGUUUACUUUGAAAAAAUCAGAGUGUUUCAAGCAGGCAGUCGCUCUUGCAUGGAUUAGCAUGGGAUAAUGAAAUAGGACUCUGGUGCUAUUUUGUUGGUUUCGACC
rnacentral:rRNA from 2 species